UACAGAGGGUGCAAGCGUUGUUCGGAAUUACUGGGCGUAAAGCGCGUGUAGGCGGCGGCGUAAGUCGAAUGUGAAAGCCCUUGGCUUAACCAAGGAAGUGCAUUCGAUACUGUGUUGCUUGAGUACCGGAGGGGAUGGCGGAAUUCCUGGUGUAGAGGUGAAAUUCGUAGAUAUCAGGAGGAACACCUGUGGCGAAGGCGGCCAUCUGGACGGUGACUGACGCUGAGACGCGAAAGCGUGGGUAGCAAACAGG
rnacentral:rRNA from 1 species